rnacentral:tRNA from 1 species
GUGGUUGUAGUUCAGUGGUAGAAUGAUUACCUAGCAUGUGUUAGGUGCUGGGUUCAAUCCUCAACACUACA